UGCUUGUCUCAAAGAUUAAGCCAUGCAUGUCUAAGUAUAAGCAACUAUACUGUGAAACUGCGAAUGGCUCGAUGGGCCGUUCCAGACAAGAAGCAGAGCACGCUCUGUAACAUUGCUAUGAUGGGGAGAUAAUCCUCAGCCACCCUCAGGGGUCGGUCCAACGACUAGAUAGUGAUGGUCCCCCCCCCGGGGGAUUAAGAUAUAGUCUCAACUACAGGCGCGAGCCUGUAGAUCAGUUGCAUUAUAUCAGUUAUCGUUUAUUUGAUAGUACCUACCUACUUGGAUAACCGUGGUAAUUCUAGAGCUAAUACAUGCUAAAAGCCUCGACUUCGGAAGGGGUGUAUUUAUUAGAUAAAAAACCAAUGCCCUUCGGGGCUCCUUGGUGAUUCAUAAUAACUAAACGAAUCGCAUGGCCUUGUGCCGGCGAUGGUUCAUUCAAAUUUCUGCCCUAUCAACUUUCGAUGUUAGUGUAGUGGACUAACAUGGUUUCAACGGGUAACGGGGAAUUAGGGUUCUAUUCCGGAGAGGGAGCCUGAGAGACGGCUGGAUGGGCCGUUUACACAGCGGAGUAAGACUCUGUAACAUUGCUAUCAUGGGGAGAAAAUCCUCAGCCACCUCCUAACGGAGGGCGGUCCAACGACUAAAUAGUGAUGGUCCCCGCCGGGGAUUAAGAUAUAGUCUCAACUGGCGGCGCAAGCACCCAGACAUCUUGACCACAUCCAAGGAAGGCAGCAGGCGCGCAAAUUACCCAAUAGCGACACGCUGAGGUAGUGACAAUAAAUACUGAUACAGGGCUCUUUUGGGUCUUGUAAUUGGAAUGAGUACAGUUUAAAUCCCUUAACGAGGAACAAUUGGAGGGCAAGUCUGGUGCCAGCAGCCGCGGUAAUUCCAGCUCCAAUAGCGUAUAUUAAAGUUGUUGCAGUUAAAAAGCUCGUAGUUGAACCUUGGGCCUGGCUGGUCGGUCCGCCUCACCGCGUGCACUGAUCCGGCCGGGCCUUUCCUUCUGGGGAAUCGCAUGCCCUUCACUGGGUGUGUUGAGGAUCCAGGACUUUUACUUUGAAAAAAUUAGAGUGUUCAAAGCAGGCCUAUGCUCGAAUACAUUAGCAUGGAAUAAUAGAAUAGGACGUGUGGUUCUAUUUUGUUGGUUUCUAGGACCGCCGUAAUGAUUAAUAGGGAUAGUCGGGGGUGUCAGUAUUCAAUUGUCAGAGGUGAAAUUCUUGGAUUUAUUGAAGACUAACUACUGCGAAAGCAUUCACCAAGGAUGUUUUCAUUAAUCAGUGAACGAAAGUUAGGGGAUCGAAGACGAUUUUUAAUAAAAUCUGGUCGUCUACAGAGCAAAUCUAGUCUAUCGUUUGGUAGGCAACACCACUAGACUGAGGGGCCGCUUGCGUAGCAAGCUAACCCGCAGCCUGGCCUGUUCCCACUGGAACAGGCCCAGUUCACAGACUGAAUAGUGGUGGGCCACAGCACCUUUCAGGUGCUGGGGCUUCUAAUACAGCCGGUCCGGCAGCGAUAAGCUGCUGGAGCACACGCAGAUACCGUCGUAGUCUUAACCAUAAACUAUGCCGACUAGGGAUCGGGCGAUGUUAUUUUUUGACUCGCUCGGCASCUUACGAGAAAUCAAAGUCUUUGGGUUCUGGGGGGAGUAUGGUCGCAAGGCUGAAACUUAAAGAAAUUGACGGAAGGGCACCACCAGGAGUGGAGCCUGCGGCUUAAUUUGACUCAACACGGGGAAACUCACCAGGUCCAGACUAAAGAAGGAUUGACAGAUUGAGAGCUCUUUCUUGAUUUUUAGGUUGGUAUGCAUUGCCAAUCAGGAUCGACCUUAGGGUCGAUCAGUCUACUAUUCAUGGUAGGCAACGCUUCUACAGUGCUGGAAUCUUGCCCGCGGGCGAGAACCAGCAGCCAGCUUCAGGCUGGCUCACAGACUAAACAGAGGCGGGCUGCUCCGCAGUUAGAGAUAUAGCCGAACCUCUAGGUGAGAUCCUAGGGUUAUCGUGGGUGCAUGGCCGUUCUUAGUUGGUGGAGUGAUUUGUCUGCUUAAUUGCGAUAACGAACGAGACCUUAACCUGCUAAAUAGCCAGGCUAGCUUUGGCUGGUCGCCGGCUUCUUAGAGGGACUAUCGGCUCAAGCCGAUGGAAGUUUGAGGCAAUAACAGG
rnacentral:rRNA from 1 species